rnacentral:rRNA from 1 species
GAUGAACGCUGGCGGCGUGCCUAAUACAUGCAAGUCGAGCGAACGGACGAGAAGCUUGCUUCUCUGAUGUUAGCGGCGGACGGGUGAGUAACACGUGGAUAACCUACCUAUAAAACUGGGAUAACUUCGGGAAACCGGAGCUAAUACCGGAUGAUAUUUUGAACCGCAUGGUUCAAAAGUGAAAGACGGUCUUGCUGUCACUUAUAGAUGGAUCCGCGCUGCAUUAGCUAGUUGGUAAGGUAACGGCUUACCAAGGCAACGAUGCAUAGCCGACCUGAGAGGGUGAUCGGCCACACUAGAACGCAGACACAGUCCAGACUCCUACGGGAGGCAGCAGUAGGGAAUCUUCCGCAAUGGGCGAAAGCCUGACGGAGCAACGCCGCGUGAGUGAUGAAGGUCUUCGGAUCGUAAAACUAUGUUAUUAGGGAAGAACAUAUGUGUAAGUAACUGUGCACAUCUUGACGGUACCUAAUCAGAAAGCCACGGCUAACUACGUG